rnacentral:rRNA from 1 species
UACGUAGGAGGCAAGCGUUGUCCGGAAUUACUGGGCGUAAAGCGCGUGUAGGUGGUGGGACAAGUCUGCUGUGAAAGCGCCUGGCUUAACCGGGCGAGGUCGGUGGAAACUCCUGGUCUAGAGGCCGGUAGAGGGGGGUGGAAUUCCGGGUGUAGUGGUGAAAUGCGUAGAUAUCGGGAAGGAACACCAGUGGCGAAGGCG